GUGGACCUCUGGAAGUUUCGGAUUUGAAAUCUGAAUUGCAGAUCAUCCGGAUCGAACUACGUAGUGACGUGUCUUAUAUAAGUUAUGUAUUCUAUCGGCAGGAUUUCUGAGGUUGGGUUUGAUUAUUGUUCUAGGCGCUAAUCUUCAUGACGCCUUGAUGUGUGGUGCUAGGGAGUUGUUGAGCGAACUCCAGGUGAGUGGGCAGUUUUUUGUUUUCGUAUUACCUUUAUACUAUAAAUUUUUUCCCAGAAGAUGAAUUUAUACGAAAUUAUGUUUUGAAAAUGCCAUGCAUAGAAUUAUUUGGAAAAGGUGAAUUUCACAUGAGUUAUAUGAUUGAUAUAUGAUGCAUACAUGUUGCAUGGUGCUGUGGAGGCACAGGUAAGUCAGGUGAGUUCAUUAUUCAUUUAAUUGAUUGUUGAUAAGAUGUUUCAAGCUCAUAAACCUGCACCCUAGGUGUUAGUGCUUAUUUUAUUCACCACACCGCACGCUCGCCUUGGAUCCAAGUAGGUGGAUGUCGUACAGACCAUGUGAGGGUUCCGACAUGCUAGUCGUAUAGAUCACUAGGCGUGAUUCCGACUAGUGGGUGAUCUUAGUUAUGCGCGCUGAUGAUUGAUGAGAGAAGCACUAGAGCGUAUUUUUACACCUUUCAUCGUACAGACUACCUUACGUAGUUCCGAGUGAUGUGCAGAGUAGGGCCGUAUAGGUCACUGUGGUGACUCCGGCUUAGUGAGAUAUUGAGCUAUUGAAUUAAUCGUAUAGGACCAACUGCAGGGUCUCCGAUUGAUUCCUUAUUUCACCUGAUUUAUAUUUUGAUUUAUGGCAUGGCAUGUUUUUCUUGAAAAAUGUUAAAGAUUUGGGAUUCAAGUUUUGAGAUUUCAUAUGGUUAUAUAUAUAUAUUUUUCUGAAAAGUGUUAAAGGUUUGAGAUUUGAGAUUUUUGCUUAUAUAUAUGUUUAUAUAUAUGCUAUUUUCUGGGAAAGUAUACAGGUUUUACGGUGAGGGGUUAGAAAUAUUUUAAAUGAAAAGUUUUCGAAAAACUUUGUUUUACUGACCCACUCAAUUUUGUUUUGCGCCCCUCCAGGUUCAAGUUAGCAGAGCUUUGGUGGCCACGAGGAAUCCAACGGUGUUCUGACAGAAUUCACAAAAGUAGGACUCACCCUCGGGUGUGUCAUCUUAGUAAUUGGAAAUUUUUUUUAAAGCUUCUGAACUAUGUAAAUGGUUACGUCACUCUCACGUGACGGCCAGCACGCCCUCCUUCGGGACGGGGUGUGUCAGUUGGUAUCAGAGCCUAGGUUGCAAUUCUGGACAUCUUGAGAAUUUCCUAGUGUCUUCUGUCAGAACUAUACCGCCUCAUAGCGAGCCACGUAGUUCGGAUGAGCCUAAAUUCCCUGAUAUAGUAGUUUGGGGGGAAAUUAUUGUCACUAUGAUUCAGUCUAUUAUCUAAAGGAACCUUUGAGACUGAUUAUAAGUUAAAUUUGAAUACAGACUUGCCUUGUUUCCAUUCGGGAUGUUGUUACUAAUCCGGUCGAGGUGUUAUGUCGUUUUUGGCGGGAUAAUAAGAAGAAGUGACGUUCUUUGGCGACCACAAUCCAUUGUACUUUUUUACCAGGAGUUUACGAGAUGUUGUUGGGCUUUGAGGACUUUGAGAAUAUGAUCAGCGAGAGUAAAGAAGAAUAAGAAAAGAAUGGUAAUUAGAGGAAAGGUGAGAAAGUUAAAGAUCCGUCAUAUCAAGGACGUCGAAAGACUCAGAGCUUCAAAAGAAGUGAAGUUAGAACUAAUUCUUCCAACUGAGGUUUUAGUGCCACUGGUCCGAGGCGAAGUGAUAGAUUUACGGGUGAUCCCAGAUCUUAAAGACAAGGGGUGACUCGAGUAAGGGAAAUGUACCUUUGUGCCAUAGGUAUAAUAUUAGACACUUUGGAGAGUGUGGGAAUCAGUGAAUGUGUUCAUGUGGAUGGAUGGGACAUAGAGGUAUGAAUUGUCCCUGGAAUCAGUUGUUACCCAAUAGUCUUCCUUAACAUAUCACUUGGAAAUAUUGACGAGUAAGUCGUACAGGUCACUAUAUGUGACUCCGACUUAUGUGCUAGCAUGGAUGGUCGAGUUGUAGACUCAGUCGUACAGGUCAUUCUAGCUGACUCCGGCUGAUAUAUUUCUUAUUAUGGUCGAUGUUGCCAAAGAAAGUAAUGUUGGAGCACGAUCGAGGCGUAUUUAUGUAUUUCUAAGGAAGAACAAGAUGAUAAUAUUACACCCCUCAGGAAUUGUUACUUAGUUAUCGAGACAACAGUGAGUUAUUUGUAUUGCGGGCUGCAGACCGUAAUAUUUAUAACUUAUUUGUUGGAUUCGUUAAGUAAGUAAACAAGUAAGGCACUUUAUGUUGAUUUGGUUUAUUAAGGGUGUCCAGUGAUGGUGAAAAAUGUCAUGUCAGUGAAUUUUAUUCCGUUGGAUAUUAUGGAUUUUGAGGUGAUUUUUUUUGGCACCAGUGCGUGCAGUAUAAUUGUGUCAAGCUAGAUUGCUAUGGGGAAUCAGUUAAUUUUUGUUGACCUGGAUGACCAGAGGUUACUUUUAGGGGUAAGUAAAGUGGAGUGAGUUAUGCCAUUAUUCCUGUUGAGAGAGCAAAGAAGAUUGUUAUCAAAAGGCUGCCAAGAUAUUGAGUUCAUAUGGUGCUAAAUGAUGUUGAUCCUAAUAGUAUGGAAGAUGUAAAGAUGGUUAGACAUUUUCUUGGUGUAUUCCCAGAUGACUUACCUAGAUUGCCGCCAGGCAGAGAUGUGGGUUCCAUUAUUGAAUUGUUUUUAGGUACAAAUCCUAUGUUAGAAAUUGGUUCAGGUUGAGUUAAAAGUUCCAUUCAACUUAUUAUAUCACAUUGGAAAAGCUCCGGUUUAUUUGUGAGGAAGAAAGUGGACAUUAAGGCUAGGCAUUGAUAUUAGGUAAUUGAAUCGGGUAACGAUUGAGAGCUGUUAUCCAUUGUUGUGUAUUAAUGAUUAUUUGAUCAGCUCUGAGGCGCCUGGGUACUUUCUGAGACUGACUUGAGGUCUGAAUGAUAUUAGUUGAAGAUUAACAGUGGGGAUGUCCAUAAGACUGAAUCCAGGACUCGUUAUGGUCAUUUCAAGUUGGGAUGCCAUACGGAGUGACGAAUGCACCUACUAUUUUUAUGAGCUUACUGAAGGAAGUAUUCCAGUGAUAUCUAGAUCGGUUUGUUGUUGUUGCCAUUGACGAGAUUGAUAAGAUUAGAGCAGUGCAUGCUAGAUAUUUUAAAGUUGGGUGUUGCAAAGAUUGAAGGAACGUUGAUGUAUGCUAAGUUUAGCAAAUGCUAAUGUUGGAUAAAUUAAUUAUAUCUACUUAAGGUAUUCAAGUGGAUUCUUAAAAGAGUAGCAACGAUUGAGAAUUUGGAACAAUUGCGAACCGUGACUGAGGUUUAGAGUUUUCUCGGAUUAGCAGGAUAUUGUCGAUAGUUCGUCCAAGAUUUUAAUUAUUGCUUCGCCCUUGGCGAGAUUGAUGAGAAAAGAGGUUAAGUUUGAGUGGGAUGAAAAAUUGUGAGUAGAGCUUCAGCAAGUAAAGUAUUCCCUCACUCAUGCAUCUGUUUUCGCACUCCCAAACGAUAGUGGUAAUUACGUAGUCUAUAGUAAUACUUCUUUGAAUGUUCUUGAAUGCGCGUUGAUGCAACAUGGUAGGAUGAUUGCCUAUGCUUCAUGGCCAUUGGGAUCUCAUAAGAUGAAUUACCCUAAUUAUAAUUUGGAAUUAGCAGCUAUCAUCUUUGCUUUGAGAAUUUGGAGACAUUGUCUUUAUGGGAAGAAAAGUGCAUGAUUGUUACAAAUCAAAAGAGUACCCAAUAUCUGUUUAUUCAGAGGUAUCUUAAUCUUAGGCAACAAAGGUGGAAUGAGUUGCUUAGUGAUUAUGAUUGUGUGACGAGGGUGGUCAAGCUAAUGUUGUGGCUGAUGCAUUUAGUAGGAAGACCCCAGUGAGAAUUAAUGCUUGGUAUGCUUGCUAUGUUCAUCUUCUUGUGGAUUUGAAAUCUACUGGAGUAAAGUUGAGUAUCAAAAAUCGAGAAGAAGCCUUACUUGCUAAUUUCUAAGUUGGACCCAUUUGGUAGAUCGUACUCGAUACUCAAGCGUUUGACGAAGAAAUUCAAGAAUUUAUUUAAAGCAAGGAAUAACGGGAUAAAGAAGGACCUUAGAGUUAGAGAAUCAGAUGGCAAGCUUAUGCAAGGGAACAAAGUGUUUAUGCCUAAUGGUGUGGAAUUAAAUAAAGCAAUUUUGACGAUGUACAUUAUUCCACUUCUACAAUGCAUCCCAAAAGUACUAAGAUUUAUCAUACCAUUCGUUCAUGUACUAUUGACGGGUAUGAAAAGAGGAACGGCGAAGUAUGUUAGUAGGCGUAUCAUCAGUCAUCAGGUUAAAGCAGAAAGAAAUAAGUCUUUUGGAAUAAUGUAGUCAUUUCCCAUUCCACGGCGGAAAUGGGAGAAUAUUACUAUGGAUUUCAUGGACAAGCUUCCUCGUAUACCAAAUAGUUAGGUUGGAGUUUGAAUAAUAAUUGAUUGAUUUGUGACGUCAGCGCAUGUUACUUCAGUAUGAGAACAUCAACCUUUCCAGAUAAGCGCAACAGUCAUUUAUUUGUUUUAUGGAAAAAGGAGAUUGGGAUCUGUUAAACUUCUUGGGUAUGUUGGUUCCUUCAGUUUGUUCCCUAGAGUAACGCCAUAAGGCCGUGGAAAGCUAUGUCUUGUGUUUCGAAAUUGUUAGAAUUGGGGACGGAUGAUAUUCAAGACUCUGAGUUUGGUGAAAAUUUAUGGAGGAAUCUUUCAGUGGAAGAAAACUACUUGAAAGUCAAAGAAUCGAAUGAGAGAGAUGUGUGUUUCGGGCUGUUUCAUGGAUAUUGAUGGAUUGUAAAGAUUGUGUAAAUUUCGAGGACGAAAUUUCUGUAAGGUGGGUAGAUUGUGACAGCCCGUCCCUAAUUUUAAGAAUUUUUAAAGUUUUAAUAAAGGAUUUUACAAAAAUGCCCUUCGAGGCACGCACAUCAUUCGAGGUUAAUCGUUGUGUCGUGCCAUCUAAGAUUUGUUUUCUUGACAUAUCCUCGUAGUACUCGUCGUUACGGACGUGUGGGCGCAGACGGUUCGUGAUUUGGAGUUAUAUCGAAGAAGUUAUUAACGUUUGAAAUUUGGAAUUUUAAGGAAUUAUAAUUUUAGUAAAAUAUAGAAAUUCUUUUAUGAAAUUGGACGGCCCAGAUUUAUUGAUGAAUGAAAUGGAUGGCUGGGAUGAGGGAAAGGUUUUUGGUGUGUGUAUGUGUAUGAGAAGAAGAAACAGAAAACAGAAAAGAAGAAGAGACUGGGCAGAAAUGCCCAAUCGGAGAAGAAGAAGGUGAGAGCAAACCAGAAGAAGGGAGAGGAAGAAGCUGACCAAUCAGGGGACGGAAAGGAGGGAAAGGAGGGAAAGGAGGGAGAGUGGUGCGCGGGGGAACAGGAGGAAUGGGUCACCCUUGACCCGCGCGACCCAAGCUUCCAAAUCGGCGGGUUUUCGCCAUUUCCGUCCAAAUUUCCGACGAAUUGAGUCAAGGUACCACUCCUAAUCAUCAUCUAGGCCUUCCCUCUUUACGUUUCACCCCAAGAAUCAUUGAAUUUCGUUGUGAUUUCGCGAAGAACACCCCUACGGGUGCCGCGACCCUUUUGUUUAAAUUCUCCAAAUUUUGAAAUGUUUUCUUUCAAUUACUAACACCUUUAGCAUUCCUUUAGGACCUAGAACAAAGCCCAAGAGGUAAUUGAGGCGUUGGAACAAGUUUGAAGGUCGAAUUGGAAACACCCAAAUUCUAGGGUUCUUCACGGUUUUGGUGAAAUUGAAGCACUUCCAGGCCAAAUUGGCCUUGGUCUCAGGUAUGAAAGUUGUUCUACUCAUUGAGAUCUUCAAAUCUGCAAAUUUUGGUAAUUUUUGGAAAUAGUUGAAUUUUCCGGCGAGCCGGGGCGGCCAACCGCCACCCGCGGCGGCCCGCGCGGCGGCGCGUGGCCAAUGGCCGCCAAUGUCAUUAUUAGCUUGUGAUUAAGGUUCUAGGUUCUGUUUUGAUAAUUGAUGGACGUAAAUUGAAUAAUUGAACCUAAGUUGGUUACGAUUCGGGGUUAGGUGAAAAUGUGAAUUGACGAUCCGACCGUUGGAUCGUCAUCAAACUUUGAUACGUUGUAAUACGUAAUAUUUGAGGAUUAUAGGAACUUACGGAUUGGGAAUCCGAUUUACGGAUAUUCCGGAAUUGGAAUUGUAAGUUCAUAAAAUAGAAUGUUAACCGUCACUUAGUUUUGGAAAUUGACGGAGAUCCGACCGUUGGAUGGUAACGAAAUUUUAGGAUGUUGUCCUAGAGGUAUAUUGUGGACCUCUGGAAGUUUCGGAUUUGAAAUCUGAAUUGCAGAUCAUCCGGAUCGAACUACGUAGUGACGUGUCUUAUAUAAGUUAUGUAUUCUAUCGGCAGGAUUUCUGAGGUUGGGUUUGAUUAUUGUUCUAGGCGCUAAUCUUCAUGACGCCUUGAUGUGUGGUGCUAGGGAGUUGUUGAGCGAACUCCAGGUGAGUGGGCAGUUUUGUUUUCGUAUUACCUUUAUACUAUAAAUUUUUCCCAGAAGAUGAAUUUAUACGAAAUUAUGUUUUGAAAAUGCCAUGCAUAGAAUUAUUUGGAAAAGGUGAAUUUCACAUGAGUUAUAUGAUUGAUAUAUGAUGCAUACAUGUUGCAUGGUGCUGUGGAGGCACAGGUAAGUCAGGUGAGUUCAUUAUUCAUUUAAUUGAUUGUUGAUAAGAUGUUUCAAGCUCAUAACCUGCACCCUAGGUGUUAGUGCUUAUUUUAUUCACCACACCGCACGCUCGCCUUGGAUCCAAGUAGGUGGAUGUCGUACAGACCAUGUGAGGGUUCCGACAUGCUAGUCGUAUAGAUCACUAGGCGUGAUUCCGACUAGUGGGUGAUCUUAGUUAUGCGCGCUGAUGAUUGAUGAGAGAAGCACUAGAGCGUAUUUUUACACCUUUCAUCGUACAGACUACCUUACGUAGUUCCGAGUGAUGUGCAGAGUAGGGCCGUAUAGGUCACUGUGGUGACUCCGGCUUAGUGAGAUAUUGAGCUAUUGAAUUAAUCGUAUAGGACCAACUGCAGGGUCUCCGAUUGAUUCCUUAUUUCACCUGAUUUAUAUUUUGAUUUAUGGCAUGGCAUGUUUUUCUUGAAAAAUGUUAAAGAUUUGGGAUUCAAGUUUUGAGAUUUCAUAUGGUUAUAUAUAUAUAUUUUUCUGAAAAGUGUUAAAGGUUUGAGAUUUGAGAUUUUUGCUUAUAUAUAUGUUUAUAUAUAUGCUAUUUUCUGGGAAAGUAUACAGGUUUUACGGUGAGGGGUUAGAAAUAUUUUAAAUGAAAAGUUUUCGAAAAACUUUGUUUUACUGACCCACUCAAUUUUGUUUUGCGCCCUCCAGGUUCAAGUUAGCAGAGCUUUGGUGGCCACGAGGAAUCCAACGGUGUUCUGACAGAAUUCACAAAAGUAGGACUCACCCUCGGGUGUGUCAUCUUAGUAAUUGGAAAUUUUUUUUAAAGCUUCUGAACUAUGUAAAUGGUUACGUCACUCUCACGUGACGGCCAGCACGCCCUCCUUCGGGACGGGGUGUGUCAUUAAGUCUAGUUGUUAUAAUGCUCAUCCGACUAUUAACUGAGCCUUUGCUUUGAAUUCGGUAUUAAGCCAAGUUUAGCAUUUUAAUAGUAUAAUUAUAAUAAUAAAGUACCUUGAAUAUGGAAGUCAUCAACAACUAAAGCACACACUUGUUUAAUUUGUAUGAACACUGUAUAUUAUUGUUUUUGUAGACCCUGUCAACCACAACCAGUAAGAAUAUAUUAUCCUAGACACCUAACUAUAACUAGCAUAAAAAGAAGAUUAGCCUAUAUUUCUAACUAUAACUAGCAUAACAAGAAU
rnacentral:lncRNA from 1 species